rnacentral:lncRNA from 1 species
AUGUGUGAGCUCACCCUUGCUGUCUCACACCUCCCCACAGGAGAAGAACAGGUGGUUCAAGAGGAGCCACACAACGAGGAGUUUGAUUCGAUCUAGGUGGUGUCUCCUAGUUGACUUUCUGGCGCUAAGGAUGGAUUUUAGUUCGAUCUAUAUUUAUAUUUUAUUUUGUAAGACUUCCGCUAUGUAAUAAAUACUCUGAUUAUAUUGUGACAUUUAUCUCUGUUGGGGGCCUUCGGCCUCCGAAGGUCCUCAAAAACAUGAUUUGACAAUGUUUUCCAAGUGAAAUAUGUGAAUAGGUAUCUUCGGAAUUGGGUUACUGGUAUACAAGAGUAUGAUCAAGACGAAGCUUGAGUGAGACGGAAGGCGAUUAUGACGAAGGAUAAGAUGAUCACGAAGCUAUGCGCAGAAAAGCUUCGGCAUGACAGCAGAAAAGGGGAACCGACCUAAAGAUGAAAAGCCAAAUUGGACCUCGAAGAAUCACUAUAGAGUUAUCGAUAAAUGUAAAGGGCAUUAAUGUAAUUUUACACGGGCUGCGUCCCGUGCCUAUAAAUAGAUGAACAGUAUUCUCGUACUAUUCGCGCUGACUUGGCAUUCACUUUUGCGCCACGCCUAUAUUUUCUUUCCUUCAAGCCGAAGGUACAUUUGUAAUUUAUCUUUGUCUACACAAGUAAUAUAAAUAUAUUAAUAAUAAUGUUUACAGAAAUUAUGCUAUUUUCUGUAUUUUGUUUGAACGUUCUUCAUUUUUUACCAUGAUCAUGAAGGUACGUCCUUCAUGACCUUCGUCCUAAAUUCAUUAUAUCUGAAGGGAAAUAAUGAUUAGAAGGACGAAGGGCUUUUGAUAUUUAACAUUUUAUGUUGCCUUGUUCUUGAUUCAUAGCAUUUGAGAACAAGUCUCCAACAUUGGCGCCCACCUCCGGUGAACUCACUUCCAUCUAUUGAGUCUUGAACACUUUCGGCAAGCAUCACCUUCGUCAUGCCGCCGAAAAAAGCUUCAGCGACAGGGGCUGGUACUUUACAGCCGCUGGAUCCCAAUCAGGACGUCCUUUCUCUUAGAGAGGCCCGAAGCCAGAAGAGGAAGGCUGUUAGUCCAACACCUCCGGAGGAUGACUUGGAUCAGGAGAUCCAAAACCUGGAGAUCCUUCAGCAACAGGUGCAGCGCAAGAAGGAGAAGAUGGCUCGUCUAGCUGACCUUCAGAGACAGAUAGACGAAGCUUCUGAAGAGGUUCGUCAUCUUGUUCAAGAUGAUCAGAACCGAAGGCCUCCACGCAGAGAGAUCCAUCAGGAAGGCUUCCACAAUGAGGACGACUGGUAUGAAGAUUUCCAUCAUGAAAACUUUGCUUUCGAUGAUGCUUCUCCUCUCUCAACAGAAUUGCAGGCUACACCAUGGCCCCAGUCUUACAAGCCACCCCAGCUCCCCAUGUAUGACGGUCAUACAGACCCCAAGCAAUUCUUGAUGAGUUACGAAGCAACCAUAUCUUCGUAUGGUGGUAAUACUGCAGUCAUGGCAAAAUCUUUUGUCAUGGCCGUCAAGAGCGUCGCUCAGACCUGGUACUCUUCUCUUCGGCCAGGGACAAUCACUUCUUGGCAGAAGUUGAAGGAUAUGCUGAUAACUAGCUUCCAAGGGUUUCAGACGAAGCCAGUCACUGCUCAAGCUUUAUUUCAGUGUACCCAGGACCACGAAGAAUACCUCCAGGCGUACGUCCGAAGGUUUCUGCGUCUGAGGGCACAAGCGCCAACAGUGCCCAAUGAAAUUGUCAUUGAGGCCAUGAUUAAGGGGCUUCGACCGGGACCUUCAGCGCAGUACUUUGCCAGGAAACCACCACAAACGUUGGAGAAGCUGCUCCAGAAGAUGGACGAAUACAUUCGAGCUGACAAUGACUUCCGCCAAAGAAGGGAGGAAGCAUUCAGGUUCUCUGAAAUGACCAGGGGCUUCGGAGGAAGAUUUCACCCGAGGCACGUUAGGUCGAUUCAUAACUCUACUCAAACUAACGAUCGAGGGAGUCAGCAGCAAAGGCCACAACACUCUUCACAAGCUUCGGGCCAGCAACAAAGUUCUUUUCGGCCGCCAGCGCCAAGGGGCAGAGGCGCUAGGGGCUUCGGGGGAAGGUUUGGAGAUCAGCCAAGAAAAAUUUAUUGCUUAUUCUAUGGUGAAGAUAAGGGCCAUACCACCAGGAUGUGUCACAUUACCAUCCAGAAGCAGAAGGAGAUAGCAGAAGCAGCUGCGCAACAAAGUCAGCCGAAGCAGAUCAUGCAUACUGCUUCGUAUCAUUCGCCUUAUAUUCCAGAAUAUGUAGGCAACCACCCCGCAGCUUCUGUUGCUUCGGCAAGCCAACCCCAAGCAUCUUGGCAGCACCCUCCACCACCACCGCCGACGCAGCGAGGACAGCAGUCAGAAGGGAGUCAGCACAAUCACCUUCAGAGGGAUUUUAGAGAGAAGUCCGAAGCUCGCACAGUCAAUAGCACUGUGCCAGAGUCGAAGCACAUUUAUUGAUAAAUAUCCUACCUCAACAGCAGUUCUUUUGCAUUCUUACAUUCAGUGCUACCUUUUUUGUUAAUAAGGAACAAUUAUGAGGAGUUUAAGUGUCUUUUAUCGUUUUCGGUUUCUUGUAACACUUUCGUCUAUUACCGUAAUAAAAAUAUGUCUUUUCCAUAGGCUUGAUUUGCCGAAGCAUACAAAUUUAUGAUGGCAUGAAGGACCUUUGUAUUAUCAAAUAUUUGUUCUAACGGACAUAGUACAAAUUCCUCGAAACAGUAAAAAGUCGUUCCUAAGGGAACGCAGUGUAAGUUUUCUGAAACUACAGCGAAAAAUAAGCGCUGAUUCCGCCGAAAGUAAAAGGCGAAGAAGCUCCUAAGGGAGGCUUACAGCGAAAAAUAAACGCUGAUUCCGCUGAAAGUAAAAGGCGAAGAAGCUCCUAAGGGAGGCUUACAGCGAAAAGUCAGCGCUGAGAUAAAAGUGUGUGUGCUUUAUUACAGGGAUAUGUAUCUGCGACACAAAUAUCAUUUUGCAUAACAUAACAUCAUCACAUCAUUCUGCAUAACAUAAGCAUCAUACAACAUAUUGCAUGAGGAACAAGAAGGGGAUACAGUGUUGAUCUUCGGAGAAUAUUUUGGAAAAGAGAAAAUUGUGCUAAGGCACAAGAUAAAUCGAGACGCAGCACAAAACUUUCUUAUAGCUUCGGAGAAUAUUUCACGAAGCUUGGAUAUUCUUCAUCAGAGAAGUAAGCAAAUUCUCGUGAUAUAGAAAAGAUUUUCUUCACGAAGCAUGAAAAGAAGGGAAGGUGUUUUUUUCGCCGAAGGCUCAAAAAAUGGUAUGUAUGCAAAAUUUCAUGCAUCGUAAAGAAUUAAACUAUAAAUAGAUUAUAUAUUACAUUCAAAGUUACAAUGUAUUACACAUGAUACGAUCCAAAUGUUUCUACAAUAGCGAUUAAUCCUCCUUCAGAACUAUUUUCGCAGCUUCGUUCAGUAGCUGGUCGACAACCUUGUCCAUAAUGGCUUUGGCCAUUUUUCUAAUUUCAUCGUCCCCCUUCGGGUGGGGGUCUGGAGUUGCCUCAGCAGGUUCUGAGGGGAGAGAAGAUACGGCUAUAUUACUAUUAUAGACCGCGAACAAAGUCUGGAAUUAAAAAUUAUAGCAUAAUAAAAACCACUAAUUAAUACCUAUUUGCCCUUCGGGCUCUGUACUUUUCUCGGCAGCUUCUGCUACUUUUCUAGCAUCGUGGAUGCCUUUUUCACUCUUUUGAAUAAUUUCUUGCGCCAUUUCUCGGCCGCUGUUAUCCCAGAUAUCGGUGAAGAAUUUCCCGCCGACCAUGCUUGCUUCGGGUGAGGGGUCUUUAAUGUCUUCAGAGGACAAGGUAGCUUCGGACUGCGCUAAGGAUUUUACAUGCUCGCAGCCUUUCCUCUCCAAAACAGCAGCAAUCCCUCUAGCACCCGAAAAAGCGCAGAUGUCACCGCGGCUAUUCAGGAUUUCCUCGAAGGCCUCUGCUUCGUGACUGAUCCAUUCCAUUGGACCUUCAGGAUUGCCUCUUGAGAAAUUCUCUUCACUAGAGAAUGCGCCAACGUUGGCGAAGCUGGACUUUAUCUUCUUAAUGCACUCUAUGGAUUUAACAUAGCAUUUUCUCUGGGAUGCACGAAGCUCCUUAACACUUAUCUCUAAAUGAUUGGCCAAUUGAUCACUAAGCUCUCGUUUUGUUUCUUCAAGUAUACGUUCUUCUUUAGCUCUAGCUAGCUGUUUCUGAAGAUCUUUAAUUUCACGUUUUUGGGCUUCGGCCUGGGCCUUUGAAGCAGCUUCGUCCUUUUUUACCUUGUCUACCAAUGUAAGCAGAAUUUUAUCCUUUUCCAGAGCUUCGUUUCUCAGUUUAAUAACUUCUAAUCGUAGGUUGUUGAACGCAAUUUCAUAGCUCUCGUCUUCGGCAUUCUUUUGUGCUCUCAAUGCGUUGCUUAGAAUUAAACCCUAUGUGUAAAAGAGUUGGUAUAAGAAUAAAAGAGUGAGUUGCGAAUUAUAAAAUUUCCAAACGCCCAAUUCCCAUACCUUCAGGCUAUUGUACGCAAGACUAUCCGCGAGAUCCUCCUUCGUCAUAGCACAUAAUCCAGCUUCGAGCUUCGGAAACCCCAUACUUCUAGCCAUCUCCCGACAGACGGAUAAUUCUUUGUUGUCUGGGAGGCAGUAUAGGAAAUCUUCUUCGUUCGUCCCAUUGAACACUAGUGCCCCCUUCGGAUAUUUCAAUUCUUUGGCAUAGUGAUUAGCUUCAAAAACUUCUUCUUCCGAUAAUUUUUCCCCGAAGCAUGUCGCACGAUAUAAUCGUAUAUUUUGGAAGAUGCUUCGGGGGCAGCCGUAUCAAUUUCUUCGACCAAAGUUGGCUCUGACAUUUUCAUUUCUUCGGUUUCCUUUGCAAUUUUUGCUUCUUCUGCUUCCAAAGGUAUUACCUUGGUUGGUUCUGUAGGCCCGGUUUCAACUUCAGUCAGUUGCUUCGGAGCUUCAGCAACGGAUACUUCAGCAACCGCCUCAGAAGUUUUAGCAGUCUUCUUUGGGGUUGUGCUUGGAAGUUUAAUUGUUUCCAAAACAUCUAACACAUUAACCAUUCUUUUUCUUUUUGGGGUCACUGUUGGCCCCUUUUUAAUUUUUGCUGCUUCAAUUUCUUCUGAAGGACUUAAAAUUUUUGAUAUUUCCACUCCCUCAGCUGAUGCUUUCGCUUCUUCCGUCUUCGGUUCUUCCAUCUUUUCUGUCGCUGGCACUUCGGCCAUUUCUUUGACUUCUGGCAGCAGGGUUGGCUCUUUAUCUUUGGUGGCCGAAGAGGUCUCACCGGCGAAUGCAGGCACUGUGGCUGGUUCAAUGUAGCGUGGCCGGUGUGUGAGAACCUUUACCCUUUUUCUCUUCGGUGCUGGCUCGCUAGGAGCAGCUGCAGCUGUUUCUUUCGCAGAAGUUGUGCCUUUUAUUUUUUGCCCCCGUACUGGAUAGCGAUAGUCGGGGUAGACAAACCCGACUGCAUCAAAAACUCGAUUGAGUCUUUUCUUUUUUCGGCCUCCGAAGGCCGCUGACAAUGCAGUAUCUUCGGCCUUCGAAUAUACCCCAAGCAAUUCAUCACUUACAGUUUCAAUGCUCUUUAACCAAUCAUCAUCUGGUUUAACGAACUUGUCUCCGUACUUGAAUGUAUACUUCAGCCUGACUAGCCCACCUUCGUCAGUUUCUUUAACAGUUUCUUUCGGCAUUUCCCAAUUUUCUGCAAGAGGCCACACUCUGAAGGUAAUGUGUUCUUGUAUUAAGGACGUGUUUGGUGUGUGGCGCCGCACGCCACACCACGCCUAAGUUACGGCGGCCAAAUCGGCCGCCACAACUGCGGCGGAAAAAGUGUGGCUUGCGGCGGUGGCUUAGGCCAGAUACCAAACACGCCCUAAAUCCCUUGUCCCAAUAAAAGAGCAAACAACUCUGAAGGCUCUCUGGCAUUCUUCGGCUGCUUCAUCCAUUUCUACCUUCGGUUUCCGGAGUCCGAAGCGCUGCCAGAUGGGGCACAUGAUGAUAUCCUUAAUAUCUUCUCGAACCUUCAAAUCAUUUUUUACAUAAAACCAUUCUUUCAUCCAUUCUCCGGGCCAUCUCUUCCGAAAGGUGGACACGGGACAACUUGAUCCAGAGCGAGCACCGAAGUUGUAGCAACCAAAGUUGUUAUGAUAUUGUUCCUUACCCUAGGGUUUUGUCUCGUAUAACAAUUCGUGUAUGUUGCAGAAGCUUUUUGCAUCAGGUUCCAAGCCUUGGCUCUUCACAGCCCAGACGAACAUUCCCAUUCUUAUUAUUGCUUCAGGGGUAAGUUGAUGAAGGUAAACCUGAUAUAUUUUCAGAACUUCUACCACAAACCUGCUUAUAGGAAAUCGUAGCCCAGCUUUAAAAAAGCUUCGGAAGAUAACGACUUCAUUAUCUUCGGGAGUCGGCAUAGUUCUUUCUCCGUCAUCUGCUCUCACAAUGGACAUAUCUCGAAAAUAUCUCCCCCUCAUGUUUUCAAGGUGACUUUGCCCAAUAGUUGAUUUUCCGAAGACUGAAUGGCUUGGUCGCCAUGGUCGAUCUUUGGAAUCUUCACCCCCACUGUCUGCAUCAUAACUGUCACUAUCACCGGUAUCUUCAGAUAAACCUUCUAAAAUCUCCCUUGUAAUCUUCUCUGUAUUCGUCUUUGAUAUUGACUCAAGAAAACCCAGAUGCAUCUCUUCAGAAAGGCUCAGUUUCAUUUCGGCAGCAACUUUCUUCUCUUCAGACAUCCCUUCGGAAUUCUUGCCUCUCGCUUCCGAAGCUUAAAACUAGGGAGGCAACCAAAUAUUUGUGGGCAGAAACUAUUUGAGCAGGCAAAACAGAUGGCAAGAGAGCGUGCCAAAUAAAUUGUGGCGAGCCCCUAUUUAUACACCCACUAUGUCGAAAACUGGAGGGUCCCGCUUGUCAAAGACUGUUGCUAUUCUAGCAAAGGGAAGGUGUUUUUUCGGACCUUCGGCUCAAAGCCUUCGUCCAUAUCGCAAUAUAAAUUUAUCAUUCCAGCAAAUUAAUAUUGCGAGGGGCUGCUGUUGGGGGCCUUCGGCCUCCGAAGGUCCUCAAAAACACGAUUUGACAAUGUUUUCCAAGUGAAAUAUGUGAACAGGUAUCUUCGGAAUUGGGUUACUGGUAUACAAGAGUAUGAUCAAGACAAAGCUUGAGUGAGACGGAAGGCGAUUAUGACGAAGGAUAAGAUGAUCACGAAGCUAUGCGCAGAAAAGCUUCGGCAUGACAGCAGAAAAGGGGAACCGACCUAAAGAUGAAAAGCCAAAUUGGACCUCGAAGAAUCACUAUAGAGUUAUCGAUAAAUG